AAAUUGAAGAGUUUGAUCAUGGCUCAGAUUGAACGCUGGCGGCAGGCCUAACACAUGCAAGUCGAACGGUAACAGAAAGCAGCUUGCUGCUUCGCUGACGAGUGGCGGACGGGUGAGUAAUGUCUGGGAAACUGCCUGAUGGAGGGGGAUAACUACUGGAAACGGUGGCUAAUACCGCAUAACGUCGCAAGACCAAAGAGGGGGACCUUCGGGCCUCUUGCCAUCAGAUGUGCCCAGAUGGGAUUAGCUGGUUGGUGAGGUAACGGCUCACCAAGGCGACGAUCCCUAGCUGGUCUGAGAGGAUGACCAGCCACACUGGAACUGAGACACGGUCCAGACUCCUACGGGAGGCAGCAGUGGGGAAUAUUGCACAAUGG
rnacentral:rRNA from 1 species